rnacentral:rRNA from 1 species
UACAGAGGGUGCGAGCGUUAAUCGGAAUUACUGGGCGUAAAGCGCGCGUAGGCGGCGUCGCAAGUCAGGCGUGAAAUCCCCGGGCUUAACCUGGGAACUGCACUUGAAACUACGAUGCUGGAGUAUGGCAGAGGGAGGUGGAAUUCCACGUGUAGCGGUGAAAUGCGUAGAGAUGUGGAGGAACACCGAUGGCGAAGGCAGCCCCCUGGGCCAAUACUGACGCUCAUGCACGAAAGCGUGGGGAGCAAACAGG